GUGGAGGAUCACCCACAGUCUCCCAGCUGCCUCCACCUACAGAUAAGGAGGAAAGGGUGGGGAAUGUGCUUCUAGUGAGCUGAAUCCCAGCCUGGACUCAGGGCUGAUCCCCAUCCCCAAAGGGCUCAGAAGUGAUUCAGGCUGCAGGCAUCCCAAGUUGAGGUUCAAGAGAGUUAUGCCCAGGAGCCCUGGAUUUUCUGAGUUUGAUGGGAUCUGGACUCUCUCUGCUAUGGGGUCAGCCCUCCUGGAGUCCACCCCAGCUUGAGCACUGGAAGCCUGCCCUGGAUUGGACAGGAACCCUGCAUUUCUCCCACUGGCACUCACCCUCCGCCGAUCAAAUUAUAUCCUCGGCUUCCUCAGCAGUACAAUCUUCAGAGGACUGUGGAGAGGAUUAAACUGUUAUUACUGUACAUGAGAAGUGCUUACAUCAGUGCCUGCUCACAAUUUAC
rnacentral:lncRNA from 10 species